rnacentral:rRNA from 1 species
GACGAACCGUCCAAACGUUAUUCGGAAUUACUGGGCUUAAAGGGUGCGUAGGCGGCGCGGAAAGUUGGGUGUGAAAUCCCUCGGCUCAACCGAGGAACAGCGCUCAAAACUACCGUGCUCGAGGGAGAUAGAGGUGAGCGGAACUUAGGGUGGAGCGGUGAAAUGCGUUGAUAUCCUAAGGAACACCGGUGGCGAAAGCGGCUCACUGGAUCUCUUCUGACGCUGAGGCACGAAAGCUAGGUAGCAAGCGGG